CACAAGGCAGGGUUGUUGGAGCUGCCAAGAGACUGCAACUGUGCUAGAACCAGCAGGGAAGCAGAAGGAUCCGAUGCCAUUAGCAUUGCUGGAAGCUUUCCCAGUAGGUCAGGGUCUCAACCGUUUCUCCUCCUGGGAGUGGACACAGCUUUGACUCUACAGCGCCCCCGUGAGGCCCCAGCGAUCGCGCUCCGGGGCCACGCAGCCCACGAGCUCACCUCCGGAGAAGGCUGACCCUCCCUCAGAGGAGGCAAACUCCACAUCAGGGUGAGCCGAACAGAGGAAUGAAUAUGUCCCCUCUGGGCCCUGACAAAAUGGGCAAGCGUCAUCCUCGGCUCGUUAUUAGGUAUGGCAAUCGGUAUUGCAGGGCUGAAACACUCCAGGAAAACCCUAGGUGGCCUCAGAGAACAAGUCAGGUGAGAGGAGUCUUGAGGCUACGUUACAAGACAUUUAUCUUGAGGUCACAAAGACCCAGGUCAGGUGGGAAGAGACAAACUGUGAGCUGGAAGACAAGAAGGUAACUUGUGAAGGCCAGGAUAUUAGAACUGAGGAGGAGCCUGUGAAGGGGACUGAAAGGAGCAGUCUGUGCGGUAAGAAGUGCAGAGGAAAAUGUGGUGUUGUGGAAGCCAAGGGAAGACAAUUUUUCA